GAGUAAUGUCUGGGAAACUGCCUGAUGGAGGGGGAUAACUACUGGAAACGGUAGCUAAUACCGCAUAACGUCGCAAGACCAAAGAGGGGGACCUUCGGGCCUCUUGCCAUCAGAUGUGCCCAGAUGGGAUUAGCUAGUAGGUGGGGUAACGGCUCACCUAGGCGACGAUCCCUAGCUGGUCUGAGAGGAUGACCAGCCACACUGGAACUGAGACACGGUCCAGACUCCUACGGGAGGCAGCAGUGGGGAAUAUUGCACAAUGGGCGCAAGCCUGAUGCAGCCAUGCCGCGUGUAUGAAGAAGGCCUUCGGGUUGUAAAGUACUUUCAGCGAGGAGGAAGGUGUUGAGGUUAAUAACCACAGCAAUUGACGUUACCCGCAGAAGAAGCACCGGCUAACUCCGUGCCAGCAGCCGCGGUAAUACGGAGGGUGCAAGCGUUAAUCGGAAUUACUGGGCGUAAAGCGCACGCAGGCGGUCUGUCAAGUCGGAUGUGAAAUCCCCGGGCUCAACCUGGGAACUGCAUUCGAAACUGGCAGGCUAGAGUCUUGUAGAG
rnacentral:rRNA from 1 species